AUAAGUCACCUUUUUGAAUGAGUAAAUUCAUUGUUACUACUGUAAUUUCUGUUUGUUUUUCAGGAAGAAGAAGAAGAGGAGGAGGAAGACUUAGUGGAUCCCCUGGAAACGAUGCGCGAAAAGUGUGCUGAGAUCGAGCACUGCGUACAUACUCAAGCACGUCUGGAGCAAUGUGAGACCAGAGUGAACGCUCGCUCCUCCACAACGGAAGACUGCACCGAGGAGCUUUUUGACUUCCUCCAUGCUA